AAAAAGCUCGAACCUGCACGUUAGCCUAGAUGUACACACACCUUUGACGCCGAGGGUUUGCACUUCAGUGCUCUAGUUAUCUUCUGCAAAUGAAGUAUGUGACAGUGAAAAUUUAAGUGGACGUGGUGAACUAAAAUAUUUCACUAAUACAUGCAUGUAGCUACAUACAUCGAUCAAUGACUGGCUCCCUUUCAUCAAGCAAUUAGGGACAAAAGGUAGUACAUCACACACAUCUAUUAAUUAAACAAACUCAUGUGUUCAGAGGUCAUGCAAACACUUUGGUCAUUAUCUGUUUUAGUAGUGAAAAGUUUGGCUGGCUAAAUUUGCAGUAUCUAAAGCUAUGGCCGACAAUAAGAUACAGUGUGAGGUGAGGCCAAAUCCAGAGCAGGAGGAAGUCAAUGGAAAGAGUGAAAAAGUUGAGGGUGGUGAUAUGCCUAUUGCGGCAACGGUCCUGGUUCAAGGGAUCAGCAAUCGUAGCGACUACAGAAAUCAGAAAGCUCAGGCAAAAAUGGAGGCAAAACAGAAAAAAAUGAACAACUAAUAGUGACUAUAGAGACUUCAGAGGCUGAUGAAUAAUCACCAUUGGACUGAACACUGAUAAUCGUGCUAAUGCAGAAAAUAAUAUUGAUUGCACAUUAAAUUUACUGUGAAAAGCUAGCACCAUAGCUCACUAGAC